GUGUGUGUUUUCUCAGCAGUUGGAACU
rnacentral:piRNA from 1 species